rnacentral:lncRNA from 1 species
AAAGAUGAUUUGAUCUGUAAAAAAAAGGGGGGGUGGGGGGGAACAAACCAAAGCUUAGAAAAAGACUUCCACUUCUUCCAUGGUGGGACAAUCUAAUCUCCCCCAAAGACAAAAAAACAGGAGAUUUGUAUGAUAAGAUGGAAACAGUUAGAAGUGGUUCUCCAGCUAGAAUGGUCUGGUCUUCGGUGUCCUUCUGAGGUUGCCUGUCCCACGUCGCCUUUGCAGUGUCCACCCAACCGGUUCAUGGGCAAACAUAUACUUCUUUCUGCCCAAAAGCAACCGUCUUCGGUGGUGUCUCCGGCCUGACAAUAUCUUAAGUCACAUGCUUCGGCCAAACCAAAAGAGACAUUUGGGAGUAAAAAUAUCAUGGAAGCCCUUAUACUAAGUGCAUUCAAAGAAGAAAUGAAAACCUAACAAAAAAUGCUUACUUGCAUCACAAGUCAUAGAAACUAAACACACCUUGACAUACAAAAGGCAGAAACCUUAUGGAAUUCGGGUAUCUGCUGGACUGAUACGAGCGUGGUCCAGGCAAAUGACCUGUCUUUGGUGCAAGAACGAACCUAAGCUUGGAACCUGUCUAAAUAUCACAUGUAAUGGACCAUUAAGCAGCAAAAUUUCUAGUACCAAAGACUAGAAUUAGUCUUCCUCCCAAUCAUUUUACCAUACACUCAAAAGGGCAAAU